GCCCUUGUAGCUCAGUUGGUAGAGCAGCUGACUUUUAAUCAGCGGGUCGCAGGUUCGAAACCUGCCAGGGGCAC
rnacentral:tRNA from 1 species